rnacentral:sRNA from 1 species
UUCCAGAUUGGGAUCGCCCUGCAGCCCGUGGCGCUCCACAGGAACGUGUAUGCGUCCGUGGUGGAGGACAUGAUCCUGAAGGCUACAGAACAGCUGGUGAAUGAUAUCCUGAGACAGGCUUUGGCAGUUGGAUACCAGACAGCUUCUCACAACAGGUAUUACUAUCUCUGCAGUCUGUGGUGUGAGGCUUACACCUCUUUCCUAACAGUUGAAUUGCCCAUGAAGUUGUUUUAUACUUACAUCAAUCCAGUAGGAGAUGGAGUUAGUGCUUAGGACACUUUAGAGCCAGAUGAGCUCAAGGAUCUGCUCUGUCAUUUUUAGAGAACCUCAUGGUUGUGAAAGCUCACUUAGCUUUGCUCAGAGGUUUAUAUCCUCCUCAUUACUUCACAGACAGCUAGGACUCUGUUUUAUUACAGGGUUGAAUAAAUAUUAGCUUUGCAAUUAAAGAUAACCGUGUCCAUUA